rnacentral:rRNA from 1 species
CCUACGGGAGGCAGCAGUGGGGAAUAUUGCACAAUGGGGGAAACCCUGAUGCAGCGACGCCGCGUGAGUGAAGAAGUAAUUCGUUAUGUAAAGCUCUAUCAGCAGGGAAGAAAAUGACGGUACCUGAGUAAGAAGCCCCGGCUAACUACGUGCCAGCAGCCGCGGUAAUACGUAGGGGGCAAGCGUUAUCCGGAUUUAUUGGGUGUAAAGGGCGUGUAGGCGGGAGCGCAAGUCAGAUGUGAAAACUCAGGGCUCAACCCUGAGCCUGCAUUUGAAACUGUGGUUCUUGAGUGCUGGAGAGGCAA